AUUGUUGUCUCCAGUGCUGGCCCGGUCACUCUGGCAAGUGCACGUAGACAGCUUUCAUCCAAUACCCUUGUGAACCUUUGGCCUCUUGCUAGCUUCGGCCAGCAGAGGAUUUUUACACCCACUCGAAUGUAAUGAAAUUACUGUUGUGCACAAGCACUAAUAUACAACUUUCAACAACGGAUCUCUUGGCUCUCGCAUCGAUGAAGAACGCAGCGAAAUGCGAUAAGUAAUGUGAAUUGCAGAAUUCAGUGAAUCAUCGAAUCUUUGAACGCACCUUGCACCCUUUGGUAUUCCGAAGGGUAUGCUCGUUUGAGUGUCAUUGUACUCUCACACUUCCGAUCGUUGGAUCGGGAGCGGUGGACUUGGGUGUUGCUGCUUUACUGUGGCUCACCUUAAAUGCAUUAGUGCAACUUUCGGUUGGACAUAGUACGGCGUGAUAAGUGUCUUCGCCGGCACCUCACAGAGGGUGGCCAAUCGGGAGCUCUGUGCUUCAAACCGUCUUCGGACAAUAACUGACAACUUGACCUCAAAUCGAGUAGGACUACCCGCUGAACUUAAGCAUAUCA
rnacentral:rRNA from 1 species